rnacentral:tRNA from 2 species
UCCGGUGUAGCUCAAUGGUAGAGCGCCCGCUUGUUAAGCGGUGGGUUGGAGGUUCGAUCCCUCCCGCCGGAGCCG